UACGAAGGGGGCUAGCGUUGCUCGGAAUCACUGGGCGUAAAGGGUGCGUAGGCGGGUCUUUAAGUCAGGGGUGAAAUCCUGGAGCUCAACUCCAGAACUGCCUUUGAUACUGAGGAUCUUGAGUUCGGGAGAGGUGAGUGGAACUGCGAGUGUAGAGGUGAAAUUCGUAGAUAUUCGCAAGAACACCAGUGGCGAAGGCGGCUACCUGGCCCACUCUUGACGCUGAGGCGCGAAAGCUAGGGGAGCAAACGGG
rnacentral:rRNA from 1 species